rnacentral:rRNA from 1 species
UACCAGCACCCCGAGUGGUCGGGACGAUUAUUGGGCCUAAAGCAUCCGUAGCCGGUCAUGCAAGUCUUCCGUUAAAUCCAGCCGCUCAACGGUUGGGCUGCGGAGGAUACUACGUGGCUAGGAGGCGGGAGAGGCAAGCGGUACUUAGUGGGUAGGGGUAAAAUCCGUUGAUCCAUUGAAGACCACCAGUGGCGAAGGCGGCUUGCCAGAACGCACUCGACGGUGAGGGAUGAAAGCUGGGGGAGCAAACCGG